UACGUAGGGUGCAAGCGUUGUCCGGAAUUAUUGGGCGUAAAGAGCUCGUAGGCGGUUUGUCGCGUCUGCUGUGAAAACCCGAGGCUCAACCUCGGGCCUGCAGUGGGUACGGGCAGACUAGAGUGCGGUAGGGGAGAACGGAAUUCCUGGUGUAGCGGUGAAAUGCGCAGAUAUCAGGAGGAACACCGGUGGCGAAGGCGGGUCUCUGGGCCGAAACUGACGCUGAGACACGAAAGCGUGGGGAGCAAACAGG
rnacentral:rRNA from 1 species